UUUCUUUCUAGAAACAGUUUCCAGUAUUACUCGGCUGUGUGAUGUGUUUGGUGGCUGUGAUGACACUCAGGCCUCAGGGUCACAGGGAAGGUCAGUGACUGUCGCUUUGGCACUUUGGAGGAUCAGCCAAUCAGAACACAGGACUUUGGCCUUUGAAUAGAGAGCUACAGAAGGCACUGUGCGGUAGAGAGCUCGUGGCAAGAUGGCUGACAUCCAGUUUUGCAGAAGAAUACUAGAGGGACAGUAAAUUCACUGUGGAGGAAAAUUAAAAGGAAAUACUGGAAAACACAAACAUGUUUCCAUAUAUUAACAAAAGGAAAAUAUUUUCCAUCCUUUUUUGCAGUAAUAUAAGAACAGAACUGGAUGUGGCUUGCUAAUAUUAGAAAAGUCAUUGAAAAGAUUGAUGUAUACCGAGUGUUUGACAGGACUGCAAAUUUCUGGGGUGUGAGUUUUUAAAGGGGUCUAAAGCAUUUAUAUAUGUGUGUGUGUGUGUAUUUUAUAGGAAUGGCACAGGGGAAUGAUCAUGGCACGCAGUAUCGUUGUACCAUCUACACCUACAGCCCAGAACAGCAAGAGCUGGCCAUGAGAAGCAAGCAUAUGUACCAGGAGGGCUCAUAUGUGAUUUGGGCUUGAGGAGAAUGAGGCGUGGACAGGGAGGUUGGGUGACCACUGUUUGCCUUGGCCUUGUGUGCAUCAGGGUGAAAGGUCAGGCUUGUGGGAGGCAGCUGUUGUUAAAGGGACGCAAUCAGAUCAAGGGACCAAAACGGAUGUGUUGUCGAUGGCCCCAAUGAUCCCAGAAGCUGAAAUGUACACACACACAGAUGUAGUGAGGCAGAAGGCUCCAUUUACUUGAUCAAAAGUUCUAUUUGAUAACAAAAUACUACUACAAUUUAAAAUAACUAUUUUCUAUUUUAAUAUAUUUUAAAAUGUAAUUUAUUCCUGUGAUGGCAAAGCUGAAUUUUCAGCAGCCAUUUCUCCAAUCUUCAGUGUCACAUGAUCCUUCAGAAAUCAUUCUAAUAAGCUGAUUUGGAGCUCAAAUAACAUUUCUUAUUAUUGUCAAUGUUAGAAACAGUUGUGCUGCUUAAUAUUUUGUGUAAAAGUAAAUCCUUUAUUGAAAGAACAUUUUAAAACAACAGUAUUUAUUUGAAAUAGAAAUCUUUUGUAACAUUAUAAAUGUUUUACUGUCACUUAAGAUCAAUCCAAUGCAUCUUUGCUGAAUAAAAAGUAUUCAUUUCUUAAAAAAAAAAAAAAAAAAAAAACUUUUGCAUGGUAGUAUGUAUGACAGUUAUGUCGCUUAAUAAUUUGAGAACUGGUAUUGAAUGUGUAAAUAACAGUAAAAAUUAGUAUUUUGUAUGGUGUGUGAAUAUUGUGCAAUAGGUCAAAUGACAAUUUUUGUAUGGAACGAAUGGCUCCAGAUUGCAUGAAAUCUAUUUUAAAUGUUUUUUUAAAAAGCAACACAUCUCCCAGACGUCAUA
rnacentral:lncRNA from 12 species